rnacentral:rRNA from 1 species
AGAGAGAGACAUGCGCGCAUAUCAAUAAGCGGAGGAAAAGAAACUAACAAGGAUUCCCUUAGUAACGGCGAGUGGAGCGGGAAGAGCUCAAAUUUGAAAUCUUCAAGGUUUUACCUUGACGAAUUGUAGUUUAAAGAAGUGUUUUCUGCUGAAGUUUUGGUAAAAGUUCUUUGGAAUAGGACAUCAUAGAGGGUGAGAAUCCCGUAUUUGACCAUUAUUUUCAGCUUUGUGAUACACUUUCAAAGAGUCGGAUUGUUUGGGAAUGCAGUCCAAAAUGGGUGGUAAAUUUCAUCUAAAGCUAAAUAUUGGCGAGAGACCGAUAGCGAACAAGUACCGUGAGGGAAAGAUGAAAAGAACUUUGAAAAGAGAGUUAAACAGUACGUGAAAUUGUCAAAAGGGAAGCGUUUGACACCAGUGUUGUUUUCUCGAAAAUCAAUUAAAAAUGGCUCGAUUUUGUAUUGCUGAGACCUUAAAAGCUCACUGUACAUUUUUCGUGUCUUUUUUAAUGCACUUUUCGUUUAACAAGUCAACAUCAGUUUCUUUUGUUGUAAAAGGGUCAUUGGAAGGUGGCUUUCUUUUCGGAGAAAGUGUUUAUAGCCUUUGGCCUCUGCAAUCGAAGAGACUGAGGUCUGCAGCGUAGACUCUUCGGGGUUAGAUACAUUUGUGCUAAGUUAUAGCUUUUUAUAGACAACUUGUUGACUAUAAUUAGUCUUGUAGCUUACUCGCUUAUGCUAUUUUACCUACGCUUAGGAUGUUGAAGAUGUAGCACAUCAU